rnacentral:rRNA from 1 species
UACAGAGGGUGCAAGCGUUGUUCGGAAUUACUGGGCGUAAAGAGCUCGUAGGUGGUUUGUCGCGUUGUCCGUGAAAACUCACAACUCAAUUGUGGGCGUGCGGGCGAUACGGGCAGACUGGAGUACUGCAGGGGAGACUGGAAUUCCUGGUGUAGCGGUGGAAUGCGCAGAUAUCAGGAGGAACACCGGUGGCGAAGGCGGGUCUCUGGGCAGUAACUGACGCUGAGGAGCGAAAGCGUGGGGAGCGAACAGG